rnacentral:misc_RNA from 1 species
AUGUUGCCGUGUCACAAACGGCUCGUCUGAAAUGCCUGAGUGUACCCCUGCUUUGCGGCGUAUUCGGUGUGAUAAAUCUUCACCGGAGUUGACCCUCAGGGUCACGUCUGCUUGACAUGGCUCUAUGCUUCCAACCGUCCUGACAAGACAAUCUUUGACAAUUUGACCUCAAAUCGGGUGGGACUACCCGCUGAACUUAA